GAGCUUCGGAGAAGCAGUGGUGGGUUCCAUGUGAUGGUGGAGUAGGAGGCAGGUCUCCGCGGAAAGAAAAAAGAAGAAAACAAACCUCCAUACGAGAAUGGGUCUAAAGGAACUUCCCAAACCUCCAUGAUUUUGCAGGAAACAAGAUAAAGGUAAUCACCUGCAGCACCUGGACCCAUCUAGAUUAACUACUCAGCCUCCAGAGGAAGGUCUUCAGGACUCAGACCUUAGUUAUAGAUUAGAAGUUAAUCACUUAUGUCUUCAGACAGGCCCUGUUCCAUGUUUAGAGAGAGAUCUUUGAGCACCCAUCUUCAUACAUUUGAGAACAGGGUCACUGAGAGGGAGUCUCUGAGGUCACAGAGUUUAUUAGUUCAUUUUCACACUCCAGGAAAGAAGUUUAAUUCACAGUUCCACAUGGCUGGGGAGGCCUCAGGAAACUUACAAUCAUGGUGGAAGGGGAAGCAAACACAUCCUUCACGUGGCAGCAGGAGAGAGAAGUGCAGAAGAGGGGAAAGUCCCCUUAUAAAACCAUCAGAUCUCGUGGGAACUCACUCAGUAUCACGAGAACAGCAUGUGGGAACCACUCCCAUGAUGUAAUGCCCUCUCACAAGGCCCCUCCCCCAACACGUGGGGAUUACAGUUCAAAAUGACAUUUGGGUGCAGACACAGAGCCACACCAUAUUACAGAGCCAGAAGAGCUGAGCAGUGGGCGCUAAGUAAAUGUUCAUUAAACCAAACCCCUGCACAAGGCUGGCUUCAUAGAGGUGCCACCUGUGCAGUGGCAAAAGCCCCACUGUCAGAGGGGACCUGAACUUGUUUUAGUGCUAUGUUGUCACUGCCUUCAAAUUCUUAACAAUUUUUGAACAGACUCCACAUUUUCAGUUAGCACCGGGUCCUGCAAAUUAUGUACCCAGUCCUGUCCCUGAAACAAAGAUAAGGUUUGUUCAUGAAGGGACUCACUCGACCCCUCCCUGCCCAUCUCACUCCAAGAUGCCCUAAGUAAAGGGGAACACAGAGCUAGGAGAAGGCAGUAUUUGAGGAUGAUCUUGGAGGUCCCACC
ensembl:lncRNA DUXAP9 double homeobox A pseudogene 9